UAACAUCCGCAGGCUGCCGGCCCCAGGCUGGGCUGGGCGAGUAUCGAAAGGUUCACCCUCAAGCACCACUAGGAGC
rnacentral:pre_miRNA from 1 species